rnacentral:misc_RNA from 1 species
GGAAGAACCUUUGCCUGAGGAAUUUGUUCUAGUUGAAAAGACUCAACCUGAUGGAACAGUUGAACAGAUUAUAUUCUCUUCUGGAGGAGAUGUUGAUGUGUAUGAUCUCCAAGAUUUAUGUGAUAAGGUUGGUUGGCCUCGAAGACCACUGUCUAAGCUAGCUGCAGCUCUGAAAAAUAGCUAUAUAGUUGCAACUUUGCAUUCUAGGAAAU